UAUUUAUUUNUAAGUCUUGACCAAAUCAUGUGCCAGCGGUCGCGGUAAUACAUGGAAGACUAGUGUUAUUCAUCUUUAAUAGGUUUAAAGGGUACCUAGACGGUAAAUAAGACCUAUAUUAGAACAGGUACUAAUUUACUAGAGUUUGAUAUAAGGAGAUAGUACGAGGAGAGUAGAGAUUAAAUUCUGUGAUUCCCUAUAGGACUAUUUAAAGCAAAAGCAAUCUUUUAUGUAAAAACUGACGUUGAGGGACGAAGGCUCAGGUAGCGAACAGGAUUAGAUACCCCAGUAGUCAGAGCAGACAAUGAUGAAUGUCAUAUGUAAGUAAAUAAGUAUUUAUAUAUAAAUGAAAAUGUAAGCAUUCCACCUCAAGAGUAAUGCGGCAACGCAUAAACUGAAAUCACUAGACCGUUUUUGAAACCAGUAGUGAAGUAUGUUGUUUAAUUUGAUAAUCCACGGAAAACCUUACCACAAUUUGAAUAUAUGUGUUACAUAUACAAGAGUUGCACGGCUGUUUUGAGUCAAUGUCGUGAGACUUUGGUUAGUUCCAAGAAAUUGACGUAAACCCUUAAUUUAUUUAUAUAUAAAUUAGUUCUCCAUUAUAUUGGAUAAGAUAACAGGGAUUAAGAUAAGUCAUCAUGGCCCGAACAUUGUGGGCUAUA
rnacentral:rRNA from 1 species